AACGAACGCUGGCGGCAUGCCUAACACAUGCAAGUCGAACGAGCCCUUCGGGUCUAGUCGCGCCUGGUUUCGUCACCCGUGGGAACCUUCCCUUAUGUUUGGACUACCUCCCCGACUGGGAUGCUAACACCGGAUAAUAUCUUCUGACCAAAGAUGUAUUGCCUUUGGUUGUGCCCGCGUUGGAUUAGGUCGUUGGUAGGGUAAAAGACUUCUAAGGCGACCAUCCAUAGCUGGUCUGAGAGGAGGAUCAGCCACACUGGGACUGAGACACGGCCCAGACUCCUACGGGAGGCAGCAGGGGGGAAUAAGGGACGACGCGCGAAAGACUGAUGCAGCAAGGCCGCGUGAGUGAUGAAGGCGUUAGGGUUGUAAAGCUCAUUUACCCGGGAUGAUAAUGAGAGUACCGAGAAAAUAAGCACCGGCUAACUCCGU
rnacentral:rRNA from 1 species